UACGGAGGGUGCAAGCGUUGUUCGGAAUCACUGGGCGUAAAGGGCGUGUAGGCGGCCCGCUAAGUCUGAUGUGAAAGCCCGGGGCUCACCCCCGGAAGGGCAUUGGAAACUGGCGGACUCGAGUCCCGGAGAGGAAGGUGGAAUUCCUGGUGUAGCGGUGAAAUGCGUAGAUAUCAGGAGGAAUACCGGUGGCGAAGGCGGCCUUCUGGACGGUGACUGACGCUGAGACGCGAAAGCGUGGGGAGCAAACAGG
rnacentral:rRNA from 1 species